GAAGUCGUAACAAGGUUUUCGUAGGUGAACCUGCGGAAGGAUCAUUAACGUUCAUAUGCACUGUAUAUGUCUCGUUUUAUUUUCGUCUUGUGAUUAACUCACAGGAAGAAACAAUUUAAGCCCCAGCGAGAAAGUGGGCGGAUUCAAAAUAUUUCUCGCCGUGGAUACUUUGGAAACACUAGUAUUUACGCUCCUGAACAUUGGAAACAAUUUGUUCGUUUGAGUCAAGAGCACAGCAAGACAAUAACAAUAAGUGUAUUUGUAUAAAAUAUAAGUUAUUGGGGCGUACCAGUGUAAAUCGUCUUAGCGGUGGAUCACUCGGCUCUCA
rnacentral:misc_RNA from 1 species